ACGGAGGGUGCAAGCGUUGUUCGGAAUUACUGGGCGUAAAGCGCGCGUAGGCGGCUUUUUAAGUCAGAUGUGAAAGUCCACGGCUCAACCGUGGAAGUGCAUUUGAAACUGGAAGGCUUGAGUAUUGGAGGGGGUGGUGGAAUUCCCGGUGUAGAGGUGAAAUUCGUAGAUAUCGGGAGGAAUACCGGUGGCGAAGGCGACCACCUGGCCAAAUACUGACGCUGAGGUGCGAAAGCGUGGGGAGCAAACAGG
rnacentral:rRNA from 1 species